UGCUCCCCACAUCCAUAUGACCAAUGGUAAGGCCUUGCAAGCCAGUGCAAGUGCCAUCAAGACAAGCACCAUUCCAGUGAUCAAGAGACAGAGGCAAAAUUGGCUUGAUGCUUCAGAAGAUGGUUUCUUUAUAGCCACAGAAGAGACCAGUGCUGAAGCAGUUAGAAACCUUCUCACGAAAAAUCCGUAAGAAGUUCACCAGAUCACAGCUGAAAAGAGCUUCCAGAACACCUUGUUCUUCAAUCAUUGCAAAGACAAAGUCUCUCAUGAACAAUAGGCAGGCACGAACAGAGCCAGGAAUCAUCAUGCACUGAAGAUAUAACAGCAUCAGCACCAUAAAAAUGUCAAAAUCAUGUUUAAUUGUGAAUGCAAAUACAACAUUACUUCACAUAUCUUUUGAGACAGAAACAGUAUAUGGACAUAUUGUGGUUGGGUUGUAUGUUCUGGGCAGGAUCCAACAGCAGCCCUUGUAUUUCCCCUCACCUCUGCAAGGGCUACUUCUGGUUCACUGUGCAGGCCUAUCCCGGAUUCCCUCUAUUGCCAGUUGACAGUGUUAGCUGUUGAGGGAGGAACUGUUUGCACUGACCACACUGAAGGAGUAUGGAUGCAGAGUCCAACCACUACAUUUGUCUGUGCCUCCUAGUGGCUCAAUACAAAAAUAUGCAGCUUUCAAAACUAUUGUAAUGUCUUUAAAGUGGGAUUUAACCUUGAGGGGUUGCAUUUUCAAAAACAACUGCAAACUUUGAGCGUUCAUAUUUUUCAGUAUUGAUUUGAGUCACUCUGGAUUUGAUUUUCUGAACUGCUGGGCAUCCAGACCCUGAAACAAGGGCAGGGUGUUGUUUAGCAGUUCUGAAACUUAGAUUGAAUUAGGAAGUGCCCAUAACUAGUGGCCAAUUUUUAAAAUGUUGGCUGUAUUAGCUUUGGUUAAAAUCCUGGAAAGUAUUAUGUGUGGAAGUGAACAUCCAGCUGGACUAGUUGCAUGUGUAAGAGCUAGUCCUGUCUUCUAUAUAUUUGCAAGCAUCCUCUUAUUUCUUUGGGUAUUUUUUGCAUUUCUUGAAGCCUAUUCUGAAUAGUUAAAACCAGCAGAACACCAUUCCCAGAAAACAUGAAGAAAUAAACUAUUUCCUAUUAGAAAUGUCUCUCCACAAAAUAAUUUUUACAUUUUGAUAUGUCUGGAUAAAAAGAUGUCUUGCUUUGAAGUUCAUAAAUGUAAGGCUACUGGUGGAUACUUACCAUGGAGAGAUGAUGUGCCUUUUGAAACUACUUGUAGGAAACUGUCAGUCUCCCAGAAAGUGGGAAUGGCGACAGAGGCAGGUCUUUUUUCUACUCAGGUACUUACAGGUGAACAAUCUCUGCCCUACUUUGAAAUCCAGAGAAAAACAGUGUGUAGCACUGCUGUGUAGUACGUCAAUCAUCCGAGGCAAGUUGUCCUUCAACGGGUUUCGAUUCUGUACGGCUUUUUAAGAUGUGAUCAGACACUGAACACGUCAUAGUAAACUGAGAUGAGCUUCAAAACUUUUUUCCUCCCUCUUUACUACUUAGUUCUAACAGUGUAAUAAUAAUUGUGAGGUUUUCAUCCAGUCAUGGAUAUGCACCCAGCUUUGGGGUUAGAAAGACAAAAAUGUAAAUGAUGUGUCGUAGCCUCUGGGUGAUGCCCCAAAAUUAUUUCCCGCCAUGCAUUUCAUGGUUUCAGUCUGAAAGAGCAUCUGUGAUCUCAGCCUAUAACUAGCCAUAUUCUCUAUGUAGGAUUUUGUGCCCUUGAGACAGAGACCCAGAUGCUUCUUCAAAGACAAAAGCACCCUGACCUCUUGAGGGGACUUGCUGAUGGUUUUCUGGAGUGAUGGUUCCAGGUCUUGUCUGCUGUCCUUCACCAGCAAGAAAAGGGUGAUGGAGAGAUUCAUGACAUGAAGUGCUUACUCCUAGUGCCCUGAAUACCUUAGUGAAUGUCACUGAUUUGGACACAGUUGGAGAAGACCUGUGAUUCAUCUGCUUACAGUAUUUUCCAGUAGCCACUGAAGUGUGCAGCCUAGGAGUCUCUUCUAGGCACAGGAUCUGCUUCUUUCUCUCAACAGGAGGGCUUUUCAUCAGAUAGCUGAGCAGAGACAACCUACUCUUAUUAGUAAGGAUUGCCUUUAUUAACUGCAACAUAUGGAAACACCUUCUGUAUAAUAGCUUCCUCACCCAUUAAAAUCAAGGAAACAUGAUUACUCAGCAAUCUGUUUGACUGAAAGUAUGAAAAACAUUAACAGAACAAGCUUCCUCAGACAUCAGUGAAAUCACACGCAGCAGACUCAUUUUCAAAGUGUCAUUAGCUGUAAGGUUGUAGAUUUUUUUACCCUGCCUUAUUAAGCUUGUACUCAAAUUAUUUCUUUUAGCCAGUAUGCUCCAGUGUCUAGACAGUAUUUUGUAAAAUCUCUGUGUGUUUCUCCUUUUGACAAUAGUAUUAGUAUCUGUAAUAGUCUGAUGUGAAGUCCUUUUUUCUUCUUUCCCUCUAAGGGAAGGUAUAUUGGUAACCCAGCUCCCUGUUAUGCAGCCAACUGCCUGGUACCAUUAUCUUUUGCAUCAAACAGCCAAGGUAAGGAAGAAUCCUUUGCUGCUUCAAGCUGAGGUGCUUCAUCUGGAUACACUGGGAAUAAUUUCACUUCUGCCCAGCAAAGUCAUUUCACAGGUUGCAAUAACCAACCCUUGGGAUAGGUAAGGCAUGGAGAAGACUAAUUGCUGGAAUAACUUCUGCUCUGUCUUUAAACUGUUCUGCAUGCAGCUGCACAGAGACUUUCUCCCCCUUAAACUGCACACAGUGCAUGGAGAAACUGCACGCCAUGUAUUGCACCUUUGUCUUUACCUGCUCUCUCUCCAUCUUACCUUUCCUGCAAGAUGUUCUCCACAUACUGAUACCGGAUUUACCCGUGAAGUUAAACUGAGAACACUGAUGGAAGAUCUGCUGAAAACGUGUUCCUGCUGCAUUUGGGCAUAAAGAUUUAAAUUUUUGUAGAAAUCGUGACACUCCUUUCUACCACAUCAUGCAAUUCCAUGCUUUCUGUUGAGUUAAAAGAUUUUUCACUGACUGUAAGUAAAGAUGACACAUUCCUGUGUUAUCUGUAACAGCGUAUCCACAACAAAUCAGAGCUCCCUACUUUUUUUAUCAAGCUUCCCAAGUUAGUUAUUUUAAAAUCAGCUAACAUAUCUCAGUCAUCAACAAUGACAUUGAGUUUAAACAUAAACCUUCUAAGCAAGGACAAGAGGUUUGGUACUUACCAUGGAUAUAAGCAAGAGAAUCUAGACAGCAUCAGAGCUGCAUUUACCAUAUGAUUUAUUUUCCAGUUAGCUAAAUAAGAAAUCUGUCUGAAAAUUUGCCUUUCCAUUUACAAAUCAGGGGCUAGGAAACCAUGCAAAAUGCACAGUCUUUUGUGUUCAGAGGCCUCAUAUAGAAAGUAAGAAGAUUGUUUUAAUGUCUGAAAUGUCUAUGUCAUUUUCAUCUAUAUAGCUGCUCUGUUCUCUUGAAAUGUUGUGUAUCCUAUUUUCAGAUUAUUUUUAAAGGCCCCUGCUUACUGAUGGAAGUUUUG